rnacentral:ncRNA from 1 species
CAUUAGCCCGCAGUAGACUUAUACAUGCAAGCCUCCCCGCCCCAGUGAGAAUGCCCUCUAUAUCAAGUGUGAUCAAAAGGAGCUGGUAUCAAGUUCACUAUGACAAAGUAGCUCAAGACACCUUGCUCAACCACACCCCCACGGGAUACAGCAGUAAUUAAAAUUAAGCUAUGAACGAAAGUUUGACUAAGCCAUACUGCACAUCAAGGGUUGGUAAAUUUCGUGCCAGCCACCGCGGCCAUACGAUUAACCCCAGUUAAUGAAGUACGGUGUAAAGCGUGAUUAAGGUAACAAACAAAUAAGACUAAGCUCGGACUAAACCGUAAAAAGUCCUAGUCCUGAUAAAAAUAACCCACGAAGGCAGUCUUAAACCCCUGAACUCACGAUAGCUAAGACCCAAACUGGGAUUAGAUACCCCACUAUGCUUAGCCCUAAACAUAAAUAUUCAAGAAACAAGAAUAUUCACCAGAGUACUACUGGCAAUAGCCUAAAACUCAAAGGACUUGGCGGUGCCUUACAUCCCUCUAGAGGAGCCUGUUCUAUAACCGAUAAACCCCGAUACACCUCACCAUCUUUAGCAACAUCAGCCUAUAUACCGCCAUCUUCAGCAAACCCUAAUAAGGCCUUACAGUAAGCACAAUAAUACUACAUAAAAACGUUAGGUCAAGGUGUAGCCCAUAGGAUGGGAAGCAAUGGGCUACAUUUUCUAAGCCUAGAACAUCUCCACGAUAGCUUUUGUGAAACUCAAAAGCCCAAGGCGGAUUUAGCAGUAAGCUGGGAAUAGAGUGCCCCGCUGAAUCGGGCAAUAAGGCACGC